rnacentral:lncRNA from 1 species
CCAUCCAACCUGACAGUGCUUGAGAGGAUCUGCAGAAAAUAAUGGGAGAAACUCCCUAAAUACAGGUGUGCCAAGCUUUUAGCGUCAUACCCAAGAAGACUUGAUUCUGUAAUCGCUGCCAAAGGUGCUUCAACAAAGUACUGAGUAAAGGGACUGAAUACUUAUGUAAAUGUUAUAUUUCAGUAAAACAAUAUAUAAAUUAGCAAAAAAUUCUACAAACCUGUUUUUGCUUUGUCAUUAUGGGGUAUUGUGUGUAGAUUGAUGAGGUGAAAAAAACGAUUUAAUACAUUUUAGAGUAAGGCUGAAACAUAACAAAAUGUGGGAAACGUCAAGGGGUCUGAAUACUUUCUGAAUGCACUGUAUUUCCAAUAAAAUGGUAGAUAUACACUCAGCAGCCAGUUUAUUAGGUACACCACUAGAGAAAGUGAGUCACGUGGCUAUGGCUCGCUACAGUAUAUAAAGCAGGCAGACAGGCAUCGAUGAAUUCAGUUACUGUUCGAUUGAACGUUACAAUGGGCAAAACGAGGUACCCAAAAUGAAUGAUCGUCGGUGCCAGGUGCGCCGGAUCCAGUACCUCAGAAACAGCCACUCUCCUGGGCUUCUCAAGCACAAUGAUGUCCAGGGUUGAUCGAGAAUGGUGAAGAAAAAAAAGAAAAAAAUCCAGUGGCAGUCCUGUGGGCGAAAACAGCUAGCUGAUGAGAGGUCGAAAGAGAAUGGCAAGCUAACAGGUGGGCCACAAACAGACAAAUAAUGGCACAGUUCAACAGUGAGAAUAGUUUGACAAACAACGGCAUGGAAAAACAUUGCCUGGAACAUGACAGUGAGUUCAGUUUACUUAAGUGGACUGGACAGUCCCCAGACCUCAACCCAAUGGAACAUCUUUGGGAUGACAUGGAACGGGCUGUUCGCAGCAUGAAUGUGCCAUUGACCAAUCUGCAGCAACUGCGUGAUGCCAAAGCCUCAGAAUGGACCAACCUCCCUGUGGAACGUUUCCGAAACCUUGUAGAAUGCCCCGAAGAAUUCAGGAUGUUCUGUAGGCAAAGGAGUGUUCAACCUGGUACUAGAUGGGUGUACUUAAUGAACUAUGUAGAUGUAAGGCAUUGAAGCCAUCAGUCGGCCACCUACUGUAGCUGGUCAGCUAUAGUGAUUACU